AGCUGAACUCCGCCGCUAGCAAUGUAAGCAUAUGGGGACUCAAACUAGAGCAGCCAGCAUCCAGUCUCUAGAGCCUUCCUUCAUUCAGCAGCUGCACUCUGGCUCUUCAGGAGGUCAGGUAGAUGAGGCCGUAGGGCAAGAAUGAGAAAUUUGUGACCUUCUAGAUGUUGUUGGGACUCCAAAUCCCAUCAGUCCCAUUCAGCAUGGCCAAUGGGCAGAGGAAAGAUGGGAGUUGGGGUCCAGCAGCAAAUGGAGGGCCACAGAAGAGAAUCAGAUGAUCUCCCGGCUUGCACAGUGGCAGCUGAUUUUGCAAACUGAUUGGGACACACCAGGCCCCAUAAUGCCUUAAAGCCAAGCUAGCUUAUGUCCAAACAGCUUACCUUUAGCACUACCACCCUGCCUGCCUGUCGUCUUUGCCCCUUUCCAACCCUAUGUUUGUUUUUUUGGAAUGCAGCCUUCAAUUUAUUCUUUAUUUUUUAAAAAGAUGAUUGGAUUCUAUAGGUUUAAAAAGCUAAAAAUGAAAACAUAAAACAUAAUAAUUAAAAGGAAACACCACAGAUCCCCCCCACACUCCCAUCUCUGUAGCCCUCGGUGGUACUGUUCAAUUACAUACAAGUCAUUUAAAAAUUCUAAUGCUUGUUGGUUUCAUUUCAUUGUGCAACUACAAGUAAUCAGAAUGAGUCUGGGUAGAGUUUCAUUUGCCAUCGUAGUGGAAAUUGUGGGUGGAAAAUAUGAAUCACUGUGUGUGGAGUAAAUAACAAAAGAAUCAGCUGGGUGCCUGGAUUCAAAACACAGGGGGGUAAACUCACUCUCCAAUGCUAAGUGAGUUUAACAUGCUUUAGAAGGUAUUAUGCAGCAGAAGGGAGAAAUUGAAACACCAUGGAAAAUGGGAUGGGAAUUCAGAAAAAGAUAAAAUUAUGUGUUGAAAUAUAUACGUUAAACUUUUGAAAACUUAAUAAAAAUAUAUUUUUUAAAAAUGCUUUACUUACAGAUUUGAAGGUCAAAUUUAUGCAUUUAUCCAAGCAGCAGCAAGGAGAACAUAGGCAGAAACUAUUGGUUAGAAAAUACAGAAAUAUAGUUUCAAACUCAUGCUCUAAGCUUGGAGCUUGCUUAGGCACAUCUUCCUUGGUGAGUUACAUGGCCCGGAUGAGAGAGGGAGCAGCAAAAGAAGGCUUCACUUCCUCCCUUGUCAGAGAAGGGGUGUGUUCCUAGCUGAGUCUAGGAAUCCAGCUGUAUUGUCUUAACUACUUUGUGCACUAACAUAGCACACAUGCAUAGUUAUGUUUGACUACAAUUUCCCAAAGAAAUGAAGAGAAAGGCCAGCAGCCUGCCACAGCAAUGCUAUUUGAUGUUCAUUUGUUUAUGCUAUGAUAUCCAUAUCUGUGGCUGAAUGGAUGAUAAUUUGUCUGUCCCAUGAUUGUCAUUAAUAUAUGAAAUAAAAGGCCAC